GAAGACUACUGAAUAACUGCGGUUGCUUUUUUCUCCUCAACACCACAACCAGCAGCAGCAGCUAACGGGCAGGAGAAGGGACUGUUGGAGCAGAGGAGUCAACACAUCGCUGCAGCGCCUCUCACCUUGUGUUUGCGUGGUCUCUGGAGACUUCCACGACACGGGGAGACACUCGACAUUUCUGUAUCACGUCUCUGUUGCUUUGUACGGUGUUAUCUUCGCGGUAGCUGUGUUUUUCUGUGUAGCCGGGGCGCAUGGAGUCGGCGUUAAAAAGCUCGGUGAGGUGUUUUAGAGACAAGAGAUCAUCCAGCUAAUGUUAGCUAGCCGCUGCCAGCCACGGAUUGAACGAGGAGAGUGGACGAGCUCGGUGCUGCUGGACGGAGAGACGGACCCACGUUGGUAUCAACCUGAACAAUGGGCCUCAUAUUCGCCAAACUGUGGAGCUUCUUCUGUAACCAAGAGCACAAGGUGAUUAUCGUUGGACUUGAUAAUGCAGGGAAAACCACAAUCCUCUACCAGUUUCUGAUGAACGAGGUGGUCCACACGUCCCCCACUAUUGGUAGCAAUGUGGAAGAGAUAGUGGUGAAGAACACUCACUUCCUCAUGUGGGACAUAGGAGGCCAGGAGUCCCUCAGGUCCUCCUGGAACACCUACUACUCCAACACAGAGUUCAUCAUUCUGGUGGUGGACAGCACAGACAGAGAGCGGCUUGUCAUCUCUAAAGAGGAGCUCUACAGGAUGCUGGCUCACGAGGACCUGCGGAAAGCAGCUGUGUUGAUAUUUGCCAAUAAGCAGGACAUGAAGGACUGUAUGUCUGCAGCAGAGAUCUCCAAAUACCUCACCCUGAGCUCCAUCAAAGACCACCCCUGGCACAUCCAGUCCUGCUGUGCACUGACAGGAGAGGGUUUAUGCCAAGGCCUGGAGUGGAUGACCUCAAGGGCUGGACUCAGAUAGCGCCUCCCUUCCGCCGUGGAUGGCUUGACUACCUGCACCACCCAUGCGGUGGCACAAAAGCAUCUCCUUUACUGGCCUAUGUUACCUUUUUUUCUUCUUCUUCUUUUUUUUUUUUAAUGAUGAAUUUUAAUGGACUUUGACCUCUGCAGAUAACACAGGACGGGGCUUUAUUUGUUCCUGUGGAGCUGCGGUCUCCUCUCAAGAUCCAGUGAACUGACCUGGUUGUUGAGCAAGGAGUCGUUUUUACCGUUAAGGAGGAGAAGAGAAUGAAGGUAUCGAAUAUGAACCUCCCUUCUUAUGAACUUUGAGCCCGUACCCGUGUGUCAUCGAGCCAAACGAGGAAGAUUCAGAGAGUUUGCAUGAUCAACUCAGCCCUCGUUUCAUUUAGGAGAAUCAUUCGAUGUGUGAUUUUAAAGGUUUGAAACACAGGUACAGCUCAGUUUUUAAUCAGUAUUUUACAUUGAAACACUACAUUAUGUCUAAAGAUGCAUAACGAUUUUUAUUUAAUUUGUAUUUCUUGCUUUUAUUGAUUUUAAGUAAAGGACGAGUGAGCAUUUCAUCCUUUUCUUUUUUUAACAGCAGACGAUCAUUGGUGCUCUAAAAGUGUGAAGACUAAUCACUGCGUCCUCAUGUAAGCAUUCAACAAGUCCUGGCAGCCAUCUUUCUUCAUGUUCUGACCUGGAGGAUUUUAUUUUUACACAAAGGGACCAGAGUUAGCAAACAUCACACAGGUGACACCUCCACUGGAGAGUGGCGGGACAGCUGGUCUGGAUUCAUUCAGUAGCAUUAAGCAUGAUCGAUGUUUCAGCUCUCAUCAGUUCUAAUACUUGAUCCUCAGCCUUAACCGUGCUGUCCUGAGCGUGUGGAGAAUGAUUCUGACUGUCUGCCCCUUCUUUUUCUACCCGUUCUGACCCGGCAAAAAAGAAUUCCUUGCUGACAGAUCUAUGCACGCGUCACUUUGAAACCAUGUUUACCAUUUGCAAGCUCCAAAAAAAAAAGUGGCCAAAAUAGAAGAGGUUGCAUGAGUUUCAUUGGAUCUAAAUGGUGUCCAUCGUGGUCAGGGAGUCUGCCUCUGGGUCUCUAGGAUAAAGGAUUAAAGUAUUUUUACACUUCAAUAAAGGGUGCAAGUCCCCGGACUCUGCAGCAUUAAGGUUUACAGCUUUUACCUUGAACCUUGAUCUUACGAAACAAGGGAACUAGAUCACGUACUCUCAGUGUGGUGGUUGAUAGUCUGGGUGGCUCAUGUACUGUAUUUCACUUGUUUCCAAUAAAAGUUGGUUUUGAAUUUUGA